rnacentral:rRNA from 1 species
GGGGAAUAUUGGGCAAUGGACGCAAGUCUGACCCAGCAACGCCGCGUGAAGGAAGAAGGCUUUCGGGUUGUAAACUUCUUUUAAGGGGGAAGAGUAGAAGACGGUACCCCUUGAAUAAGCCACGGCUAACUACGUGCCAGCAGCCGCGGUAAUACGUAGGUGGCAAGCGUUGUCCGGAUUUACUGGGUGUAAAGGGCGUGUAGCCGGGAAGGCAAGUCAGAUGUGAAAUCUGGAGGCUCAACCUCCAAACUGCAUUUAAAACUGCUUUUCUUGAGUGUCGGAGAGGUAAUCGGAAUUCCUUGUGUAGCGGUGAAAUGCGUAGAUAUAAGGAAGAACAUCAGUGGCGAAGGCGACUGCCUGGGCCAACACUGACACUGAGGCACGAAAGCGUGGGGAGCAAACA